rnacentral:rRNA from 1 species
GGAGGUCCGAACCCACGAGCGUUGAAAAGCUCGGGGAUGACUUGUGGGUAGCGGUGAAAUUCCAAUCGAGCCCGGAGAUAGCUGGUUCUCCCCGAAAUAGCUUUAGGGCUAGCCUCAAGGUGAGAGAUACGGAGGUAGAGCACUGAAUGUCCUAGGGGGUAUUGCACCUACCGAAGACUAUCAAACUCCGAAUGCCGUCAUCUUAUACUUGGGAGUCAGACUGUGGGUGAUAAGAUUCAUAGUCGAAAGGGCAACAGCCCAGAUCGUCAGCUAAGGUCCCUAAAUGUAAGUUAAGUGGUAAAGGAUGUGGGAUUGCACAGACAACCAGGAUGUUGGCUUAGAAGCAGCCACUCAUUCAAAGAGUGCGUAAUAGCUCACUGGUCGAGUGAUCCUGCGCCGAAGAUUUCCGGGGCUAAAACUUACUACCGAAGCUACGGCAUCAGUAAUGAUGGGUAGGGGAGCUUCCCAUACGGGUUGAAGCAUGACCGUAAGGACAUGUGGACAGUAUGGGAGUGAGAAUGUUGGCAUGAGUAGCGAGAUGUGGGUGAGAAUCCCACAGGCCGUAAACCCAAGGUUUCCAGGGGAAGGUUCGUCCGCCCUGGGUUAGGCGGGACCUAAGCUGAGGCCGAAAGGCGUAGGUGAUGGACAACAGGUUGAUAUUCCUGUACUACCGAUAACCGUUUGAGAGA